rnacentral:rRNA from 1 species
GUGGGGAAUCUUGCGCAAUGGGCGAAAGCCUGACGCAGCCAUGCCGCGUGAAUGAUGAAGGUCUUAGGAUUGUAAAAUUCUUUCACCGGGGACGAUAAUGACGGUACCCGGAGAAGAAGCCCCGGCUAACUUCGUGCCAGCAGCCGCGGUAAUAUGAAGGGGGCUAGCGUUGCUCGGAAUUACUGGGCGUAAAGGGCGCGUAGGCGGACAGUUUAGUCAGAGGUGAAAGCCCAGGGCUCAACCUUGGAAUUGCCUUUGAUACUGGCUGUCUUGAGUACGGGAGAGGUGAGUGGAACUCCGAGUGUAGAGGUGAAAUUCGUAGAUAUUCGGAAGAACACCAGUGGCGAAGGCGACUCACUGGCCCGUUACUGACGCUGAGGCGCGAAAGCGUGGGGAGCAAACAGGAUUAGAAACCCCUGUAGUCC